CAGCACAUGGGGGUUGGCGGAACCGAGCCGCGGGUGGUGCUGGCAGCGUACCAGUUGCGCGCCGCACUCCUCCUGAACCUCCAGCACCUCCAGCACCAGCACGCCGGGCCUAUCCGCUGGAGAGCGGAGCAACAACAACACAGAUGUUGUCUGAGUUGGAGCGAUACCUCCAGAAGCUCACAGCUGAUCUCUGCCUGCAGUUAAGUCGAUUUAGCCUCUCUGCAAGACUGCCACUGUUCAACACGCACACAAACACACAUAGAUGGUGAAAUGUGAUAGGCAUAUGUACCAUAUUUUGCAGUUCAAGAAAAUUCUCAGUAAGCCGACAAACCACCACAGAUGAAGAUGAUCUUCACGAUGCUGAUGACCUUUAGGCAGGUGUUUUUUUUUUUCAUCAAAAUGUGGAAACAUCACCUUCAUGUGGCCCUGAUGUUUUUCAGUACCACACUUGCUUUCUUUCUUUCUUUCCGCAUUUUAUGAAGUCAUAUAAUCAAAAAAACUAAACAAAACACUUGAAUGAAUCUGGAAAGUGCCGUUGACGCAGAGCUAUUCAAGUACAAAUGCGUUGCCUCACUAACAAUGCCCGUGAGAUUCGAUUACAGCCCGCCUGCCAGUGUGAAUGUGCAGCAAUUCUCCCAUCCCUGAAAAUAUAUUUUUAUAAUCAUCCGUCUCACCUUUGAAACUUCCUUUUCUUUUUGGCCGAAUCUUCGGGGGUUUUCAACUGCCUGUCAAACGUCUUCUUCGGCGUCUGUAGCAUGGCGUGAGCAUAUCGGUCCCAAUUGCUGACAGACCUUUUGUUACCAUCGCUGCUGCCGCUUUGAAGGCUCUCGACAUCUAGUCUGCUUGUGGUCAAUAUGUCACAGUCGGUCUCUCCAUCGGACGCAUAGCCUGAGAUGUCCAACUGCGAUAUAUGCAAGGGGGAAAAGUAAGAAUUACAUAUCAAACUCGUUUGUUGUGUAAAUGACUUGUUGUAAGAAGUAAACAUAUGUGCCCAACUAGAUACCGUAGCUACUUAAAUCAACUACGAUGACAAGGGAAACACAUGUGAACAUUCAGACCUAAUUUGUUGUCUAAAACAGCUAUUCGUUACUGUUGCAAAAACAAUCAGACCCAACUGGUAAGAUGAGUAAAUGGGUUGGGAUAACAAGGGAAACAAUUAACGUGAAUAUAUUGAGCAGAGUGGCUUGCUGCGGCUGCCUAAAUAAGUUGUUGUAGUCAGAGUAAUCAUUAAGACCCAGUAAGUAAACUGCUUGAAUGGGCUAAUGUUAGAAGGAAAACAAUGGAAACUUAUUGGACCCGAUUAUAACUAAAAGGGCUGCUGUCGAUAGACAAAAAUUUAACAUUCAGACCCAAUUCGUAGACACAAGUAGUCAUAUCCCCACAUGUGUGCAGUAAGAUGUGAAACACAAUUAGUAACUUGCUCAGAUGGGUUGGUGUAAAAGUGGUAACCCAGUAAACAGUCAGACCCAACUACUGAAGUUAGACGAUUAAAUGGGCUAAUGUAUGAAGGGAAACAAACAUUCAGCACCAACUGGUUGUCUUCCAAAAUCGGCAGUUACUUGAAUGAAUGGGCUACUGAAAGAAGGGAAGCAAAACAAAAAUUCAGACCAAACUAGUAAGCUGAUUACGGUAAAUUGACUGCUAUGAGAAAGGGGGGAAAAAAGUUUUGGACAACUAUUUAAUGCCUAAAUGGGCUGCAGCAAGAGAAAGAGCAAAAUAAACAUUCAGUUCUCAAUUAGUUAGCGAUUUCACUGUUAUAACGUGCAAGCCCAACUAGUUAGCUGGCUAAACGGGGAGGAAAAGCAAAUAAUAAACAGGUAGACCUAACCAAAUGGCGACCCAAAAAGUUUACUUUAUUGAUAAUCAAGCAUUAUUUUUUUUCCAGUUUUAUCGUUCAAGGAUUUUAAUGCUUAAUUCAAGGAUAUUUUAAUGCUUGUGCCAAUUUAUACGUACAAUAGUGAAGACUCAUUCCACUUUUUAAAUCCAAUACAAUACUGUACUGUAAUGUGAAAUAUGCGCUGUAAGGUUAUGGCAUGCUGCAUCAUUCCCAAGCCAUUUUUUUCUUUUUCUUUUCUUUUUUAUUUUUUUGCUGUGUCACGACUCAUUGCAACUGAUGCAAUCAGAUCUCAUGGAAAAAUCCACAUGAAACCUGAACUCCUGUCAUGUGUAGACAAGACCAGCAUACCAAGCUCUCCCAUUUGAAUCAACUUGACCCUGCUGGGCUGGGCGCCAGGCGACGUCACGCCAUAGCUAUAGCCACAGAGCGAGCAAGCGAGCGAGAGAGUGAGAGAGAGAGUGCCAGAGAGAGUGCCAGAGAGAGAGAGAGAGAGAGAGAGAGGAACACUGUGUUCCUGGCCCCGAUUCAAAAAUGCCAUUUAACCCAACGCUGAAAGCAUUCUGAGUACACCGUGUGAGCGUCCGCGAGCAGCUUCUCCUGAACAAACGGUAGUUAAAAAUAAAAAAAAAAACACGACCAGCCAUUUAGGCCGGACGUUAGUGAACCUUAAGAGUGGCCGACUUGGGGGUAUGGAGUGAGCGAGUGAGCCUCAUCUGGAAAGCAGUCCUUGAAACAAAACACCACCCUCGCAGCUCCUCCUGCGUACUUCCAGUGCAAGUACAACACCACAAAUCUGGCAGGCUUUGCUUCAGUGAGUCAGAUGCGCAUUGAUCUGGAGUCAUAAACUUUUGGGACCUGGACCUGGACGUCAGGAUCCCGUUAGAUCCGGUUUGAUUUAGGAUUGAUUGGAUGAGUCCGUGUGAGCUUUCCAGUAAGGACUGGAAUUAUAUGUGAGGCAAACAGACAGCUGUGUUGUGCUGUCUUCUUGGAAUUCACAAAGCUAGACAAUGAAAAGCAAAACAUGAUGAUCAUCGUGAGAUCGGCACGUCUUGUGAGAGUUCAGAAAUGUGAGCGUCUGAAAGGUAAAAAGGUGAUUCAUAUGUGGCAUGAGAAGGCCAAGGAUGACAGAAAAGAGCAAAAGUAUGAUGGCAACCAUAGAAGUGGAAAUAGACCAUACGGUGAUAAAAUAAACGGUGCGAACUUUCAAUGCCAUAAUAAAUACUUUGUGAUGUAUAACAUCCACAAGUCAAUAGCAAAAGAAAAACAAUAUCAAGUGGUAAAAAGUCAACAUUUUACUGUCCAAAAGGGCCGCUGUGUGUGUGUGGGGGGGGGGGGGGGGAGUCUAAGCGUUCAGAUCCAUCUAGUAAGAAUUUCUCUGAGUUGUGUUCGAAGGAUUCAAAUAAUGAACACAGAUGGUUAGAGGACUAUCGAAACAUUCAGAGACGACUAGUUAGAUGCUUCAAUGGGUUGCUGUUGGAGGAGAACCGGAGUGUUAUCAUUCAGACCCACAGAUCUGCCAAAAUUAGCUCCUCAGAUCAAGGAAACAAAGUAAACAAUCCAGUCCUCCAAGUUGAUUGCCUAUAUGGGCUCCCACAUGAGGGAAAACAGGGUGCAGUGCGUGGCAACAAACUCAAUAUUCAAACAGUCCCAGUUCAAUGCAAAAGCAGACUGAUGUCAGAAGGGAAUGAGAUGAAAAACAUUCAGACCCAACUAGUUAGCUGCUUACAUGGACUGCUGUAAGAAUAGAAACAGAUAAACAUCCAGCCUCAGAUUAUUAACUGCCACAACUGGGAACUGUGAUUAUGGAAACAAUCGUACACAUCAGACCCCACUAGUGAGAUGCAGAAAUGGGCUGUACAAGGAAAGCAAACAGAGAGUAAGCCUUCUGACCCUAACUGGUUACCUGAAAAAAAUUGGCUGCCUGCAAAAAUUGUGUGGCUAACCAGGCGCUGAUUAAAUCCAGCAAUUCUUAAAACUUGCCAGUAGUUGACUGGCGUGUUUUGCAAAGACCUCUUGCAUUUCCUUUUCAUCUGUCAGGUGCAUUAUUUUCAUUUUAAUUGACAGUCGUCAUGUGCGCAAAAUAGUUAAGUAGGUAAAAAAAAGUGACUUAAGGUUGAUGUUAUGUUUUUAAGACAUUGAUGGUUUUCCCAAGGAAAAUGCAUUUUGAGUUUAGAACAACCAACAUGGGAGAAUUGUGUUUGACUUUGGAGGUUCGACUGUAUAGACAAUCUAAAUAUUUUCACCACAUGUGUGUUACUCAUUCUUUCCCAUUCUGUAUGUUUCUAAAACUGUAUAUAGUGGAGUAUGUAGACGUGUACACACUUUUCACUGCACUUCCUUUGCUAAUGUUUAAAGUAAUGGAGGGGCCUGACAGGGGACUACAAAUAAAAAGAGACUUAUUGUGGAACAGUAGAUUAAUGAAAUCUAUUUCUUCUUUCUUAAAGUUCUGUAACCACACGUCUCCAGAUAGCAUGAUCUUCAAUUUCACUUGACCCCAGAGAGCUGAUGGCAGCAAAAAUUAAGUGUGACAAGAGGAAGUAGCUGGCUCUGUGGGAGGGAUGCUAAUCUGUCGAUGCGUUUCCUUUCAACAAACUCGAGAACUUCCUCACAAGAUUCUCCUUUAGUCUUAACAACAGUCCCAUUCGCCAGAAGAGCUUGUCCGUUAUUUCUGGGGACCUAAUGAGGAAGACGAGAACAGAGAAGAGUGGAAGCAACGCCACCAAGGCAGAAAAGGAGCCGUCACGGUCCAAAGUCAAACAAUAACCACAAAACAUCACUAAUUUGUCCCAAUCUGGCACACCAAUUACGGUACCUGAAACAACAAAAACAGCAUGUGCGGUUGUGAGCUGGUGCACGGCACUCCCUGCACAUUCCCUCCAUGCCAGUCCAGCCUUUCACAAACACUGCACCUGAGAACAAGCAAAGCCUCCAGCACUGAGGCUUUACACCACCGACGUAUACAGCGCAUAUAGAUAGUAAACAGCCCUGCCCUGUGAUGAAGAAGAGGCUAUCAUGCUACUGGUAACAUGAAAAAUUCAAAUCCAAAAUGGACUGAUAGGUUGCGAAAAGCCGAUACUCAAUAUUCAGACCCAACUAAAGGGCUGUUGUCAGAUGGAAAUAAGAUAUAGAUAAUACAUGUUCAUACCUAACUAGUAAAGUAAUAAUGCAGAGCAAUAGUCACAACUCGUGAAAUUUCAGCUCAGUGAGCAUCGAAAAAAUUCACUUCACGUGUUUUGAUUUUCAGUUAGUUAGCUACCUACAUAGGUCGUCUUAAGCAUGGACAUACAGUAUUGUAUAUUGAUAACAUUCAGACCAUACAUGUUGUCUGGUGAAAUGGACUGUUGCAAUAACGACAAGAUAAACAUUCAGAGGCAAAUAGUUAUAUGCAUAAAUGAGCAAGGUGGCACAGUGGUCAACUGCUUAGCAUGUCUGCCUCACAGUGCAUAGGUUCGAUUCCAGGCCCCAGCCUUCCGAUGUGGAGCUUGCAUGUUCUCUCCAUACCUGCGUGGGUUUUCUCCGGGUACUCCGGUUUCCUCCCACAUUCCAAAAUCAUGCAUGCUAGCACUCCAUAGUCUCCCUAGGUGUGAUCGUGACCGUGAAUGGUUGCUCUUCUCUGUGUGCCCUGUAAUUGGCUGGCAACCAGUUCAGGGUGUAACCCCGCCUACGGGCGGAAGACAGCUGGGAUAGGCUCCAGCACGCCCGUUCGGAUAAUGGACGGAUGGAUAAAUGGUCUACUCGAGUCAGGGGAUCAAAUACUCAACAUUCAGUACCGGCUCGUUAGCAGCUAAAAUGGGCAGCUGUGAUAACAUAAACAUUCAUCCCAACUAGUUAGCAUGACAGAUGAUCUGCUGUCACAAGGUUACUAGAUAGUAAAUAUUCUGACCCAACUAUAUGUCUACAUAAAUAAGAAAGCUGGCAUUUCUCUGUCUUAUACCUACUGGCCAUGUAUCACAAUCAUUGGGGAGGAAAAAAAACACUGUGAUUUAAAUAUGUCAUCAACAGCACAGCUGGACUCCUUCAUCGACUCCAAAAAACAAACUAUUUUCUUCACCCUAGAAAUAUUCACCAAGCAGGAUAAAUAGCUGCUAAGAUAAGCGUCGGCCAGGAUUUUAUUGCAACUUCAGCUUGUGAACUUUGACAGUCUGGAACAUGAACCUUAAGGUUCUAGAAAAGUGCACAGCAGGCAGGCGAGGGUUUGAUCCCAUUGAAGGCAUGCGUGGAACAUGCCAUCUAGUGGAAAAAUACUCAAUCUAUACAUAAAAAAUAAAUCACUGUUCUAAUAUCAUCAACCAAAAUUACACCCGUUUAAAAAAUAUACAUCUAAAAUAAUCUUAUGAUACAUAAAUAUUUUACACAACAUGGGACACGCAUCAAGACUCUGUAGGAAGGACUUGACUUGCGACCUUAAGUAGGUGUAGAGCACCAUCUAUUGUUCAUACAUAGCAAUGACGUGGAUAUAUAGACCUGCUGCUGUCAGCAUUCAAAUCUAACUAGUUACCUGCAUAAAUAGGUCGACGCCAGAAGGGAAACGAAGUAGACAUUCAGACUCAACUAUUCAAUAUAUUCAAUAUAACUAGAAAAAUGCGAUACCGUCGCAUUGGAAAUGGUACAAUAUGGUUUCAACCUAAAAAAUGUAACAUCCUGUAAGACUUUAGCUGGUGAGGAUGUUAAAGUUUGACACUGUGUGCCUACCUUGGUUCUUUAGAUUUUGUGUUUUUGUGACAUCCCCAAAGUUAUUUACCAGCGUGAUAACCACGGAGAAAGAAACGUUACUUCUGUCUGCUCGGUACAACAUCAAAUGCCACAAUACGUCUCUGCUGACACACAGUGGGCGAGUAGUUUUACUUUAAUUUAAUUUGACGUGCAAAUGGUUCACUCACAUCCGUAGGCUCAGCUCGAAGGGCUUCAGUUUCUUCAUUGCACGACAGCGAAUCACAGUCUGAGAUUUGCUGGCCCGUAUCUUUUUCUACAUCCUGCUCAGACCCAUCUGUUUCUAUGACAGCCAUGUCAUCUGCAGCAGUCAGAUUGAAAAAAACAACAACAA